CAGUCGCCGCGGUAAUACAGAGGGUGCGAGCGUUAAUCGGAUUUACUGGGCGUAAAGCGUGCGUAGGCGGCUUCUUAAGUCGGAUGUGAAAUCCCUGAGCUUAACUUAGGAAUUGCAUUCGAUACUGGGAAGCUAGAGUAUGGGAGAGGAUGGUAGAAUUCCAGGUGUAGCGGUGAAAUGCGUAGAGAUCUGGAGGAAUACCGAUGGCGAAGACAGCCAUCUGGCCUAAUACUGACGCUGAGGUACGAAAGCAUGGGGAGCAAACAGGAUUAGAUACCCGUGUAGUCCCUGUCUCUUAUAC
rnacentral:rRNA from 1 species